rnacentral:rRNA from 1 species
CCUACGGGAGGCAGCAGUGAGGAAUAUUGGUCAAUGGGCGUAAGCCUGAACCAGCCAAGUCGCGUGAGGGAUGAAGGUUCUAUGGAUUGUAAACCUCUUUUAUACGGGAAUAAAGUGCGGGACGUGUCCCGCUUUGCAUGUACCUUAUGAAUAAGGAUCGGCUAACUCCGUGCCAGCAGCCGCGGUAAUACGGAGGAUCCGAGCGUUAUCCGGAUUUAUUGGGUUUAAAGGGUGCGUAGGCGGCCUUUCAAGCCAGCGGUGAAAGUUUGUGGCUCAACCAUAGAAUUGCAGUUGAAACUGGCAGGCUUGAGUAUGCUUGAGGCAGGCGGAAUGCGUGGUGUAGCGGUGAAAUGCUUAGAUAUCACGCAGAACCCCGAUUGCGAAGGCAGCCUGCCAAGCCAUGACUGACGCUGAUGCUCGAAAGCGUGGGGAUCAAACAGGAUUAGAUACCCUUGUAGUC